rnacentral:lncRNA from 1 species
AAAUUGGACGAUGGUCUUUACAGGCUUGUGCAAUCUUCUUCUUCUUCUUCUCUUCAAUCUAAUACUUCUUGUAAAUACCAUUCUCCAUUAACUGUUGACUCUGUUUCUUCCUCUCAUUGUACAUACCAUUCUGAAUUGAAUAAAAUGGAGAUUUUAUGGCAUAAUAGAUUGGGACAUAUACCUUUUAUCAGAAUGAAGGACAUUCCUUCUAUUCCAUACAAAUUUGCAAAUAAACAACCUUUCAUAUGUACUGUUUGCCCAUUAGCUAGACAAUCUAGACUGCCAUUUCAUGACAGUUCCAUUAAGACAACAUAUGCCUUUCAACUCAUUCAUGUAGAUACUGUUGAAACACGUUCUCAAGAAUGACAGUUUCAUUAAGACAACACAUGCCUUUCAACUCAAUCAUGUAGAUACCCGGGGUCCUUAUGCCACCUCCACUCAUAAUGGCUGUAAAUAUUUUCUAACAAUAGUUGAUGAAUUUACUAGAGCUACUUGGACUCAGCUUAUGGGGUCCAAGAGCAAUGCCUUUCCUCUUAUCAAGGCUUUUAUUUCCAUGAUCAAGACUCAAUUCCAGACUGUUGUGCAAACCAUUGAGAGUGACAAUGCCUUUGAACUUGGGUCUAGUAGUUCUGGCAGCAAUUUCUUUGCUGAAAAUGGAAUCCUACGCCGAACCUCUUGCUCUCACACACCACAACAAAAUGGUGUGGUUGAAAGAAAGCAUAGAUAUCUACUGGAAACAUCCAGAGCCUUACUCUUUCAUUCCCAACUCCCCCUUAGAUUCUGGGGUGAUUGUGUGCUUACUGCAACCUAUCUCAUAAACAGAUUCCCUUCCAAACUACUUAACUCAACUCGCUCUUAGAUUAUGGGGUGAUUGUGUGCUUACUGCCACCUAUCUCAUAAACAGAUUUCUUUCCAAACUACUUAACAAUGUAUCCCCUUUUAAGUUGCUUUUUGGACAAACCCUUCUUACAACCAUCUUAAAACCUUUGGGUGUCUUUGUUUUGCUUCUGUCCCGAAGCAGCACAGGGACAAAUUUCAGCCUAGAGCUGAUCCUUGUGUUUUUCUGGGAUAUCCUUUGGGUAAAAAGGGGUACAAGCUGUACAACUUGAAGACUAAACU